UUGCGGUUAUAUCACGUUGAAGUAACUAUUCCUGUACAAUCACCAAAGUUAAGCAACGUGGAGCCUGGUGAGUACCUAGAUGGGUGAUCGCGUGGAAAUACUAGCUGCUGUAAG